rnacentral:rRNA from 1 species
UACGAAGGGGGCUAGCGUUGCUCGGAUUUACUGGGCGUAAAGCGCACGUAGGCGGAUUGUUAAGUCAGGGGUGAAAUCCUGGAGCUCAACUCCAGAACUGCCUUUGAUACUGGCAAUCUUGAGUCCGGAAGAGGCGAGUGGAAUUCCUGGUGUAGCGGUGGAAUGCGCAGAUAUCAGGAAGAACACCAAUAGCGAAGGCAGCUCGCUGGGACGGUACUGACGCUGAGGUGCGAAAGCGUGGGGAGCAAACAGG